GAGGUUGUAGCUCAGUGGUGGAGCACUUGCCUGGCAUGCAUGAGGCACGGGGUUCGAUCCUCAGCACCACA
rnacentral:tRNA from 1 species